rnacentral:rRNA from 1 species
CAGUCGCCGCGGUAAAACGGAGGGUGCAAGCGUUAAUCGGAAUUACUGGGCGUAAAGCGCACGCAGGCGGUCUGACAAGUCAGAUGUGAAAUCCCCGGGCUUAACCUGGGAACUGCAUUUGAAACUGUCAGGCUGGAGUCUUGUAGAGGGGGGUGGAAUUCCAGGUGUAGCGGUGAAAUGCGUAGAGAUCUGGAGGAAUACCGGUGGCGAAGGCGGCCCCCUGGACAAAGACUGACGCUCAGGUGCGAAAGCGUGGGGAGCAAACAGGAUUAGAUACCCCAGUAGUUCCUGUCUCUUAUAC